CCUACGGGAGGCAGCAGUGGGGAAUAUUGGACAAUGGGCGAAAGCCUGAUCCAGCCAUGCCGCGUGUGUGAAGAAGGCCUUCGGGUUGUAAAGCACUUUCAGUGGGGAAGAAAGCCUUGGGGCUAAUACCCUCGAGGAAGGACAUCACCCACAGAAGAAGCACCGGCUAACUCCGUGCCAGCAGCCGCGGUAAUACGGAGGGUGCGAGCGUUAAUCGGAAUUACUGGGCGUAAAGCGCGCGUAGGCGGUCUGAUAAGCCGGUUGUGAAAGCCCCGGGCUCAACCUGGGAACGGCAUCCGGAACUGUCAGGCUAGAGUGCAGGAGAGGAAGGUAGAAUUCCCGGUGUAGCGGUGAAAUGCGUAGAGAUCGGGAGGAAUACCAGUGGCGAAGGCGGCCUUCUGGACUGACACUGACGCUGAGGUGCGAAAGCGUGGGUAGCAAACAGGAUUAGAUCCCCCUGUAGUC
rnacentral:rRNA from 1 species